rnacentral:misc_RNA from 1 species
AAGUCGUAACAAGGUUUCCGUAGGUGAACCUGCGGAAGGAUCAUCAUUAAUUUGACUUUGGAGGAGAAAAACCACCGGGUCAUAUGAUAUAUUAGUGACAUUUUAGACCCAACUUUAGACUGGUAAUGAUGACGAUCAUGAAUGGUAGGUCUAAUAUAAGUUGCGGUGACCGUGAAUUGAAGCGGUCUGUGGUCUGAUUGAGAAAUCGAUCGAUGAUCACAUGAGGUGGUUAAGUUUGGUUGGACUUUUGACGAAGGGUCCGGGUUGACUUGCACCGAAAUAGAAGAUACUAGUUAGUAGACGAGAACAGGAGAUGACCGGAACGUGGUUAUACACACCGGAUAAUUAUGAAAACUUUCGGCAAUGGAUCUCUUGGCUAUCC